rnacentral:siRNA from 1 species
AAACAGAGGACCAAUGCAGACA